CAACAUGAGCAACAUAAUUGAGCGCCAAACAGCGCCCGAUAGUCGAGGGAACCCGGUGCAAAUCCGGGACUGUCCCGCAACGGUAAUCGUGUCUAAACAACACGAAAGUCCGAUACCUCCAUGUUGUGCCGCCCUUUAA
rnacentral:ncRNA from 22 species